GCAGUGUACCCGCGGCAAGACGGAAAGACCCCGUGAACCUUUACUAUAGCUUGACACUGAACAUUGAGCCUUGAUGUGUAGGAUAGGUGGGAGGCUUUGAAGUGUGGACGCCAGUCUGCAUGGAGCCGACCUUGAAAUACCACCCUUUAAUGUUUGAUGUUCUAACGUGGACCCGUAAUCCGGGUUGCGGACAGUGUCUGGUGGGUAGUUUGACUGGGGCGGUCUCCUCCUAAAGAGUAACGGAGGAGCACGAAGGUUGGCUAAUCCUGGUCGGACAUCAGGAGGUUAGUGCAAUGGCAUAAGCCAGCUUGACUGCGAGCGUGACGGCGCGAGCAGGUGCGAAAGCAGGUCAUAGUGAUCCGGUGGUUCUGAAUGGAAGGGCCAUCGCUCAACGGAUAAAAGGUACUCCGGGGAUAACAGGCUGAUACCGCCCAAGAGUUCAUAUCGACGGCGGUGUUUGGCACCUCGAUGUCGGCUCAUCACAUCCUGGGGCUGAAGUAGGUCCCAAGGGUAUGGCUGUUCGCCAUUUAAAGUGGUACGCGAGCUGGGUUUAGAACGUCGUGAGACAGUUCGGUCCCUAUCUGCCGUGGGCGCUGGAGAACUGAGGGGGGCUGCUCCUAGUACGAGAGGACCGGAGUGGACGCAUCACUGGUGUUCGGGUUGUCAUGCCAAUGGCACUGCCCGGUAGCUAAAUGCGGAAGAGAUAAGUGCUGAAAGCAUCUAAGCACGAAACUUGCCCCGAG
rnacentral:rRNA from 1 species